UGAGGAAUAUUGCGCAAUGGGGGAAACCCUGACGCAGCAACGCCGCGUGAGUGAGGAAGGUUUUCGGACCGUAAAGCUCUGUCGAGCGGGAAGAAAUGCAUGGUGGCUAAUAUCCAUCAUGCUUGACGGUACCGCUAAAGGAAGCACCGGCUAACUCCGUGCCAGCAGCCGCGGUAAUACGGGGGGUGCGAGCGUUGUUCGGAAUUAUUGGGCGUAAAGAGCGUGUAGGCGGCUGAAUAAGUCAGAUGUGAAAUCCCUGGGCUUAACCCAGGAAGGGCAUUUGAAACUAUUCGGCUAGAGUAGGUGAGAGGAAAGUGGAAUUCGUGGUGUAGAGGUGAAAUGCGUAGAUAUCAGGAGGAACACCGGUGGCGAAGGCGACUUUCUGGCCCUAUACUGACGCUGAGACGCGAGAGCGUGGGUAGCAAACA
rnacentral:rRNA from 1 species